UACAAUAGGUAACUAUAGAGUAAAUUAGUAUUUGAUGAUAGGAUAAUUAGAUUUAAAAAAAGAUGUAUAUGAACUAGUUCUUAUACAAGAGGUUGAGAACGUAAAAUGAGUGAUAUGCCUUAAGAGGAUCUCCUACUUGAUUGCUUCAAAUAUCAUUAUCCAGGCCAGAAAUAUUGACGUCUCCAUCGGUGUUGUUUGGUUUAGGAGGAUGAGAUUCGAUGGGUAUACCGCGUCUCUCAGGUGGGGGUGAUCGGUCAUCAUCAAAGACGCGAGGAAUACUGAAUGCACCAAAGAAGCCAUUCUUUAUCUCCUCGGCUGCUUCAAAGAAACGAUCAAGUUCACUGAAGAAGCUUCGUUCAAUAUUCUCAAUAUCACUACGCAGCCCAGGGAAGUCAAAAGGCACACUUGACGACUCUAUAGAAUGUGAAUCAUUUGUCAUUUGGUCCGUGACAUCUUCCUCUGAGUAUUCUUUAUUAGACUCCACUAUCUCAGAAGGCCUCCCAAUGCAAUCCUUGAAAGUUUGCUCAGCCUUUUCGCACUUUCUGAUGAACUUUCCGGGCUCAGUCUCUUCGGUUCGGCACCGAGUGCUCACAACCUUCCUGGUAGCGCACCGUUCACCGCCGUCACCAUCGCUGCCGGAGGAUGAUCUAGGGUUUCCAAAAUCCUUGACGGCGCUAAAAUCAUCGGCGCCGGAAUGCUUAGGCUCGUCGUUGAUCCACACCCAACCCAUUGCUCUUCGAUUUGCUUCAAUUGCUUGG
rnacentral:misc_RNA from 1 species